rnacentral:lncRNA from 1 species
UAUAUCUUCGUCCUAGAUUAGAAAAUACUAUUUUUAUUUUUGAUCCUUCGUAGUUUUCAUAUAUUUUUUCAUCUAUUAUAAAUUCUUCUUUAUUCAUUUUAUUGUGAAUAGGUCAUGUUGAUAUACAUAUUCUAAACUAUCUAUUUGUGAUUCUAAUUUUGAUAUUUCAUCUUUUUGUGUAUCUAUUGAAUUUUUACUAACUCCGGCAAAUAUAUUAUAAUGUAGUCUUUCUAUUCUUAUUUUUAAUUCUUUUCGUUUUUCAGAGAUAAUUUGUUUUAAUUCUUUAUAUCGUUGUAUUUUAUUCAUUUUAAAUUAUAUUUAUAAUAUCUCGGUGGAUAUCUAAAUCUAAUUUUAUCAUAAUUAAGUGGUAUAUGUUUCAUUCUUCUAGAUUUUAAAUGUAUUAUUAAUUUUGAUUCAAUACUAGAUAUUAAUGUAAUUAAGUAGGCUAGUUUUUGUGGAUUUUCUUUUGUUU